rnacentral:tRNA from 1 species
GGAGAGGUCGCAUAGUGGUCGAGUGCAGCGGUUUACUAAACCGCCGAUCCGCAAGGGUUCGCGAGUUCGAAUCUCGCCCUCUCCG